rnacentral:rRNA from 1 species
UAUUGCACAAUGGGCGCAAGCCUGAUGCAGCGACGCCGCGUGAGCGAAGAAGGUUUUCGGAUCGUAAAGCUCUGUGCUCUGGGAAGAAAAAAAUGACGGUACCAGCGGAGGAAGCUCCGGCUAACUACGUGCCAGCAGCCGCGGAAACACGUAGGGUGCAAGCGUUAAUCGGAAUUACUGGGCGUAAAGCGUGUGUAGGCGGUUCGGAAAGAAAGAUGUGAAAUCACAGGGCUCAACCUUGGAACUGCAUUUUUAACUGCCGAGCUAGAGUAUGUCAGAGGGGGGUAGAAUUCCAAGUGUAGCAGUGAAAUGCGUAGAUAUGCGGAGGAACACCGAUGGCGAAGGCAGCCUCCUGGGAUAACACUGACGCUCAUGCACGAAAGCGUGGGGAGCAAACAGG